rnacentral:rRNA from 1 species
UACGUAGGGUGCGAGCGUUGUCCGGAAUUAUUGGGCGUAAAGAGCUCGUAGGCGGUUUGUCGCGUCUGCCGUGAAAGUCCGGGGCUCAACUCCGGAUCUGCGGUGGGUACGGGCAGACUAGAGUGAUGUAGGGGAGACUGGAAUUCCUGGGUGUAGCGGUGAAAUGCGCAGAUAUCAGGAGGAACACCGAUGGCGAAGGCAGGUCUCUGGGCAUUAACUGACGCUGAGGAGCGAAAGCAUGGGGAGCGAACAGG